rnacentral:rRNA from 2 species
AAAUUGAAGAGUUUGAUCAUGGCUCAGAUUGAACGCUGGCGGCAGGCCUAACACAUGCAAGUCGAACGGUAACAGGAAACAGCUUGCUGUUUCGCUGACGAGUGGCGGACGGGUGAGUAAUGUCUGGGAAACUGCCCGAUGGAGGGGGAUAACUACUGGAAACGGUAGCUAAUACCGCAUAACGUCGCAAGACCAAAGAGGGGGACCUUCGGGCCUCUUGCCAUCGGAUGUGCCCAGAUGGGAUUAGCUAGUAGGUGGGGUAACGGCUCACC